GAGUUUGAUCCUGGCUCAGGACGAACGCUGGCGGCGCGCCUAACACAUGCAAGUCGAACGAGAGAGAGGGAGCUUGCUUCCUUAAUCGAGUGGCGAACGGGUGAGUAACGCGUGAGGAACCUGCCUCAAAGAGGGGGACAACAGUUGGAAACGACUGCUAAUACCGCAUAAGCCCACGACCCGGCAUCGGGAAGAGGGAAAAGGAGCAAUCCGCUUUGAGAUGGCCUCGCGUCCGAUUAGCUAGUUGGUGAGGUAACGGCCCACCAAGGCGACGAUCAGUAGCCGGACUGAGAGGUUGAACGGCCACAUUGGGACUGAGACACGGCCCAGACUCCUACGGGAGGCAGCAGUGGGGAAUAUUGCACAAUGGGGGAAACCCUGAUGCAGCGACGCCGCGUGAAGGAAGAAGUAUCUCGGUAUGUAAACUUCUAUCAGCAGGGAAGAUAAUGACGGUACCUGACUAAGAAGCCCCGGCUAACUACGUGCCAGCCGCCGCGGUAAUAC
rnacentral:rRNA from 1 species